rnacentral:rRNA from 1 species
CCUACGGGAGACAGCAGUGAGGAAUAUUGGUCAAUGGACGCAAGUCUGAACCAGCCAAGUAGCGUGAAGGAUGACUGCCCUAUGGGUUGUAAACUUCUUUUAUAUGGGAAUAAAACGUUCCACGUGUGGGAUUUUGUAUGUACCAUAUGAAUAAGGAUCGGCUAACUCCGUGCCAGCAGCCGCGGUAAUACGGAGGAUCCGAGCGUUAUCCGGAUUUAUUGGGGUUAAGGGAGCGUAGGUGGAUUGUUAAGUCAGUUGUGAAAGUUUGCGGCUCAACCGUAAAAUUGCAGUUGAAACUGGCAGUCUUGAGUACAGUAGAGGUGGGCGGAAUUCGUGGUGUAGCGGUGAAAUGCUUAGAUAUCACGAAGAACUCCGAUUGCGAAGGCAGUUCACUGGACUGCAACUGACACUGAGGCUCGAAAGUGUGGGUAUCAAACAGGAUUAGAUACCCGAGUAGUC